rnacentral:tRNA from 1 species
GGGCCUAUAGCUCAGUUGGUUAGAGCAGCGGACUCAUAAUCCGUUGGUGCCGUGUUCGACUCACGGGAGGCCCACCA